rnacentral:rRNA from 1 species
UACAGAGGGGCAAGCGUUGUUCGGAAUUACUGGGCGUAAAGGCGCGUAGGCGGCCUGCUAAGUCGAACGUGAAAUCCCCGGGCUCAACCCGGGAACUGCGUCCGAUACUGGCAGGCUUGAAUCCGGGAGAGGGAUGCGGAAUUCCAGGUGUAGCGGUGAAAUGCGUGAGAUAUCUGGAGGAACACCGGUGGCGAAGGCGGCAUCCUGGACCGGCAUUGACGCUGAGGCGCGAAGCCAGGGAGCA